GCACGUCACUAAUUUUCGUUUUCCCUUUUUAUAUAUAUAUAAAAUUUCCUCUUCUUUAUCUUCUCCCCUGCUUUUUCUUUCUUCUGUAUUCCCGUCCCCAACGCCUCUCUCUCUCUCUCACACAGUGUCGUCGGCCGUCCUUCUUCGGGCACGUUCUCUCUCCUGCAGUUUCUCUCUCUUCGGCGUUCUCUAUCUGCUCUGUUUGCCGUUGUUCUCAGUAGUCUUUGUUUAUUGCAUGUGCCGGUGUAGAUCUGCUUCGUUGCUGUUAUUCUGAAUGUUGUGGGUUCAGUCGUUCAGAGAGAUGAAAAAAGUUUGGAAACUUGCAGAGAAUGGAGAGUGAAACCAAGAUCUGCUUCGUUGCUGUUAUUCUGAAUGUUGUGGGUUCAGUCGUUCAGAGAGAUGAAAAAAGUUUGGAAACUUGCAGAGAAUGGAGAGUGAAACCGAGAGUAAGGCUGAGCAAGAAUGUGGUUCAUCGGAGGGUUUGAGGAAUGGGAGUCAUUGGAAUGUAGUGUCUGCUCACAUGUUGCUGUGGUUAGGAAAUAGAAAUCAAAUUCUGGAUUUUUGUGUAUGUGGUUAGGUGCUGCUCACAUGAUCGGAGGAGAUGCAAGAUCAGAGCAUCCUGUUGUAGUGAGAUUUUUGAUUGCAGACAAUGAAGACAAGAUUUUUUAUUUGAA